GACGAACGCUGGCGGCGUGCUUAACACAUGCAAGUCGAACGGUGAACCUCUUCGGAGGGGCUCAGUGGCGAACGGGUGAGUAACACGUGGGCAACCUGCCCCCGGCCCUGGGAUAACUCCAAGAAAUCGGGGCUAAUACCGGAUGUUCACCGCUUCCCGCAUGGGUGGUGGUGAAAAGGGUUUCCGGCUGGGGAUGGGCCCGCGGCCCAUCUGCUUGUUGGUGGGGUAGUGGCCUACCAAGGCGACGACGGGUAGCCGGCCUGGGAGGGUGGACGGCCACACGGGGACUGAGAGACGGCCCAGACUCCUACGGGGGGCAGCAGUGGGGAAUAUUGCGCAAUGGGCGGAAGCCUGACGCAGCGACGCCGCGGGGGGGAUGACGGCCUUCGGGGUGUAAACCUCUUUCAGCAGGGACGAAGCGCAAGUGACGGUACCUGCAGAAGAAGCACCGGCCAACUACGUG
rnacentral:rRNA from 1 species